rnacentral:rRNA from 1 species
AGAGUUUGAUCCUGGCUCAGAACGAACGCUGGCGGCGUGCUUAACACAUGCAAGUCGAACGCGAAAUUUUUUCUUCGGAAGAAAGAGUAGAGUGGCGCACGGGUGAGUAACGCGUAAGUAAUCUACCCUGGCAUUUGGGAUAACCCACCGAAAGGUGGGCUAAUACCGGAUACGUUGGAAAUAUCCAAGAAAGGUGGCCUCUGAUUCAAGCUACUGUGCUGGGAGGAGCUUGCGUACCAUUAGCUAGUUGGUAGGGUAAAGGCCUACCAAGGCGACGAUGGUUAGCGGGUCUGAGAGGAUGAUCCGCCACACUGGAACUGGAACACGGACCAGACUCCUACGGGAGGCAGCAGUGAGGAAUAUUGCGCAAUGGGGGAAACCCUGACGCAGCGACGCCGCGUGGAUGAUGAAGGCCUUCGGGUCGUAAAAUCCUGUCAGAUGGAAAGAAAUGUAGGUGUGCUAAUAUCGCAUCUAUUUGACGGUACCAUCAAAGGAAGCACCGGCUAACUCCGUGCCAGCAGCCGCGGUAAUACGGAGGGUGCAAGCGUUGUUCGGAAUUACUGGGCGUAAAGCGCGCGUAGGCGGCUCUAUAAGUCAGAUGUGAAAGUCCACGGCUCAACCGUGGAAGUGCAUUUGAAACUGUCGAGCUUGAGUAUUGGAGGGGGUGGUGGAAUUCCCGGUGUAGAGGUGAAAUUCGUAGAUAUCGGGAGGAAUACCGGUGGCGAAGGCGACCACCUGGCCAAAUACUGACGCUGAGGUGCGAAAGCGUGGGGAGCAAACAGGAUUAGAUACCCUGGUAGUCCACGCCGUAAACGAUGUCAACUAGGUGUUGGGGAGGUUAAUCUUCUCAUUGCCGCAGCUAACGCAUUAAGUUGACCGCCUGGGGAGUACGGUCGCAAGAUUAAAACUCAAGGGAAUUGACGGGGGCCCCCAAAGCGGUGGAGUAUGUGGUUUAUUCGACGCACGCGCAAACCUU